GACGAACGCUGGCGGCGUGCUUAACACAUGCAAGUCGAACGGAAAGGCCCUGCUUUUGUGGGGUGCUCGAGUGGCGAACGGGUGAGUAACACGUGAGUAACCUGCCCUUGACUUUGGGAUAACUUCAGGAAACUGGGGCUAAUACCGGAUAGGAGCUCCUGCUGCAUGGUGGGGGUUGGAAAGUUUCGGCGGUUGGGGCUGGACUCGCGGCUUAUCAGCUUGUUGGUGGGGUAGUGGCGUACCAAGGCUUUGACGGGUAGCCGGCCUGAGAGGGUGACCGGGCACAUUGGGACUGAGAUACGGACCAGAAUCCUACGGGAGGCAGCAGUGGGGAAUAUUGCACAAUGGGCGGACGCCUGAUGCAGCAACGCCGCGUGCGGGAUGACGGCCUUCGGGUUGUAAACCGCUUUCGCCUGUGACGAAGCGUGAGUGACGGUAAUGGGUAAAGAAGCACCGGCUAACUACGUG
rnacentral:rRNA from 1 species